GGCGGAACUGCCGUUCGUCGUGUGGACGGACCACAAGAAUCUGAGUUAUAUCCAGUCUGCAAAACGUCUCAACUCCCGCCAGGCAAGACCAACGGCCAGGCGGAGCGGGCAAACCAGGAACUGGAGGGCAUGCUACGCUGCGUCACAGCCGCCAAUCCCGCUUCAUGGAGCCUUCAUCUUCCUUGGGUUGAGUACGCACACAACACGCACAGAAAUGACACUACCGGAAUGUCUCCCUUUCUCUGCUCCCUGGGCUACCAGCCCCCGCUGUUUCCCUCGCAGGAGGCAGAGAUUGCUGUUCCUUCAGUUCGGUCCCACAUCCUACGCUGCCAACGAACAUGGAACAAAGCUCGGGCUGCGCUGCUUCGGGCUUCC
ensembl:lncRNA